rnacentral:rRNA from 1 species
GACGAACGCUGGCGGCGUGCUUAACACAUGCAAGUCGAACGGAAAGGCCCUGCUUUUGUGGGGUGCUCGAGUGGCGAACGGGUGAGUAACACGUGAGUAACCUGCCCUUGACUUUGGGAUAACUUCAGGAAACUGGGGCUAAUACCGGAUAGGAGCUCCUGCUGCAUGGUGGGGGUUGGAAAGUUUCGGCGGUUGGGGAUGGACUCGCGGCUUAUCAGCUUGUUGGUGGGGUAGUGGCUUACCAAGGCUUUGACGGGUAGCUGGCCUGAGAGGGUGACCGGCCACAUUGGGACUGAGAUACGGCCCAGACUCCUACGGGAGGCAGCAGUGGGGAAUAUUGCACAAUGGGCGGAAGCCUGAUGCAGCAACGCCGCGUGCGGGAUGACGGCCUUCGGGUUGUAACCCGCUUUCGCCUGUGACGAAGCGUGAGUGACGGUAAUGGGUAAAGAAGCACCGGCUAACUACGUG